CGGGAUGAUGAUAUUGAGAUAGGAAGUGCCGUCAGAUGCGAGAACUGACGAGAACCUCCCUCCGGCUGACC